rfam:Daphnia pulex DAPPTscaffold_122_Cont5066, whole genome shotgun sequence.
GAUAGUGUUUCCGAGUGGCCUAUGGCGAUGGUUUUAGGCACCAGUCUCUUCGGAGGCAAGGGUUCGAAUCCCUUCAAUGUCA